AAGGAUAUAUUCGGAAYAUCUUCUUACGAAGAUGYAGGAAUAACAUUGACAUAUUGUAUUCAGUUUUGAAUGCUCAUUGGAGUAUUCAUUGCAUAAUUUUGUACAUUGAAAACUAGAUAAGUAAGUAAAAUUUAUGAUUUUACCAAGCAAAACCGAGUGAAUUAGAGUUUUUUAACAAGCUUUGAAUUCAAAAAGAAAUAAUCGCUAGUGUUCGAAAGAACACUCACAGAUUAAUAACAUUUUGGGUUUUCAACCGACUUGUUCGUGUUGAAAGUCAAAAAA
rnacentral:misc_RNA from 1 species